GAUGAACGCUGGCGGCGUGCCUAAUACAUGCAAGUCGAGCGAACAGACGAGGAGCUUGCUCCUCUGACGUUAGCGGCGGACGGGUGAGUAACACGUGGAUAACCUACCUAUAAGACUGGGAUAGCUUCGGGAAACCGGAGCUAAUACCGGAUAAUAUAUUGAACCGCAUGGUUCAAUAGUGAAAGACGGUUUUGCUGUCACUUAUAGAUGGAUCCGCGCCGCAUUAGCUAGUUGGUAAGGUAACGGCUUACCAAGGCGACGAUGCGUAGCCGACGUGAGAGGGUGAUCGGCCACACGGGAGGUGAGACGCGGUCCAGACGCCUGCGGGAGGCAGCAGUAGGGAAUCGUCUGCAAUGGGCGAAAGCCUGACGGAGCAACGGCGCGUGAGUGAUGAAGGUCUUCGGAUCGUAAAACUCUGUUAUUAGGGAAGAACAAAUGUGUAAGUAACUAUGCACGUCUUGACGGUACCUAAUCAGAAAGCCACGGCUAACUACGUG
rnacentral:rRNA from 1 species